UGUGGCAGGCAAGAUGGCUCCCGGUCGCCAGAAUUUCUGUCAGGGGUUAGCUGAGGCCCUGCUUAAAGAUUGCGCCCCCUCAUGGAACCGCGCACCGGAGGCCUCACAAAGGCUGGCACGGCCUUAGGUAGUGGCUUCCAAAAGCUACUCUGACGUGUUUGAAAUGGGGUUCCUUCUCCGGCCCACCCUCCUAUCCUCAGGAGUUGUACGGACUCAGGAAGAGGAGGGCUAGUUUGGUUUAGUGGCAAUACUACUCAUGUGGUGUGCCCUUCUUAUUAGUGCCUCACUUUGGGUGGUAUUUGUGCUGAUGUCUUACUGCCGGUGAUCAUUUGGUUAAGGUAAUAUAUGGAAUGUUUUCUCCUUUUAAUUAUGUAUUUGGGAUUCGUUGGUAUAAUUUUAAUGGCCUGUUUCUCUUUACAUUUUCACCUUCAAAUUUUAGUAUCCAUCAAUGAAUUUUGUAUAUGAUUAUUACUGUUAUUACAGUGAUUUCCUAUUUCCCUCAUUCAUUUAAUAAUUCAUUUAAUAAUUAUUAUUCAUUAAUAUUGUUAAUUAUUCAUUCAUUUAAUAAUUAAUUUAAUAAUUUAAAAAAGGAUUCUAUUAUAUUUCAUGGUUCACUGCAGCAAUAAACAAGAUAGGUCUGGAACAUUCUCUUAGGGGGGAAAACAAGUUUCUAAGUAGGCUAGGGAAGAUGUGGAAAAGAUAAAGGACAAAAUGAAUAUGGAAAGGAAUGAGCAUCAAAACGAAGUAGCAAAAAAAUAGUUAAUAGCAAUAAUUACCUUAUGGUUUAUUGUACUAGCAGUCUGUGAAAUAACAGGAGUUCAUUACAAAGUUCAAAGAAAAACAUUAAUGGAAUGUGACCAAAAUAUAGCUGUAAUACAAAUAAGGGAGGCAUAAUAAGGAUAUGUUAAUUUAUUAAAUUUUCAUUUUUAAUGAUUUUGAAAAGUAAAUGCCAAGAUACAUGGUUAUUUAAGUGUAUACAUAAGGAUUAGAUAGCUUAUUGUUUUAAUUGUUCAAGCUAGCAAAAAAAAAUAAUAAAAUAAAAAUACACAAAGGAGUAUAUUGGCAAGUAGUUCUGGAGUAUUACACCAACAAGAGAGAAACUAAUCAGUAUUGAUUGGAACUCAGAAUAACCAAGUAAAAUGAGAUGAAAGAGCAAAUCAGCAGUGUGGUCACAUAAUAGCUCAGUAAGUAGAACGGACUAUUAAUGAUUAUAAUAGAGUUGAAAUAUUUUAAAGAUACGAAAUAGUACAUAUCCUAAUAAGAAUAACAACAGGGACUCCUUGUCUUAUUUUAUAGCAUAUGAAAUAUCUACCAAGUAUAUAUUUUUUAAAACUGCUAAUUUAUUUUUUCUAUAAAGUUGAGAUUUUUUAAAGUUUAUUUAUUUAUUUUGAGAGAGAGAGCAGGGGAGCAGCAGAAAGGGAAAGACAGAAACCCAAGCAGGCUCUGCACUCUCAGCGAGGAGCCAGACGUGGGGCUUGAACCCAUGAACCAUGAGAUCGUGACCUGAGCUGAGAUCAAGAGUUGGACAUGUAACCAACUAAGCCACCCAGGCACCCCUAAAACUGCUCAUUUAAGUAAAACACUAAUUAGAAAUAUUUAAAGAAAAUAGCCCAAUAUAUCUCAUAAGAAAAUGGCUUAAUUACUAUUGCUGGUCAUGCAAAACUUUAAAGAGUCCAGAAAUUCUGGGGAAGACCAAUUUAAAAAAUUAAAAUCUAAUGAAUAAUAGUGACAAAAAUGUAUCGAAACAGUAGGUAAAUUCUUAUAAAAAUCUAAUAACCAGUGGCUCAUAAUGAACAUUAUUUGCAUAACCCAGUCAACUGUUGUGAUUAACAAAAGAGAUGAUGGACACUUAAUCUCUGUCACUAAUUUUCUUUCUUUCUUCUUUUACUUUUCCUUUCCUUGAUAAAAUCAAAGUUCUGUUGAUUGUUAAGCUGCCAAAACCCAGCAAGGCAACACAGAAAAA